AGUCGUAACAAGGUAUCCGUAGGUGAACCUGCGGAUGGAUCAUUAACAAAGGUGUUUUUGAAGUUAUGUGAACAGUUUUGGUGGUUGUGGGAGUGGUGGAUGGUUGUGGGGGGGGAGGUGGAAGUGGUUGUGGGAGGAGGUUGGAGUGGUUGGAGUGGUGGGAGUGGUUAGAUCAAAUCAAACCACACCACACACACCACACCAAUCACACCACACCAAUCACACCCCACUCUCCUCACCCACAUCACCACUCCCAACUUUAAUGUACAAACUGAUGUCUGCCUAGUUUUCUAAACUAAAACAACUUUUAGCAACGGAUCUCUUGGCUCUC
rnacentral:misc_RNA from 1 species